rnacentral:rRNA from 1 species
UUUACACAUGCAAGUCGAACGGUAACAGGGUGCUUGCACCGCUGACGAGUGGCGAACGGGUGAGUAAUGCGUCGGAACGUGCCGAGUAGUGGGGGAUAACGCAGCGAAAGUUGUGCUAAUACCGCAUACGUACUGAGGUAGAAAGUGGGGGACCUUCGGGCCUCACGCUAUUCGAGCGGCCGACGUCUGAUUAGCUAGUAGGUGAGGUAAAGGCUCACCUAGGCGACGAUCAGUAGCGGGUCUGAGAGGAUGAUCCGCCACACUGGGACUGAGACACGGCCCAGACUCCUACGGGAGGCAGCAGUGGGGAAUUUUGGACAAUGGGCGAAAGCCUGAUCCAGCCAUGCCGCGUGUCUGAAGAAGGCCUUCGGGUUGUAAAGGACUUUUGUCAGGGAGGAAAUCCCUAGUGCUAAUAACACUGGGGGAUGACAGUACCUGAAGAAUAAGCACCGGCUAACUACGUGCCAGC